GAAAUGCGAUAAGUAAUGUGAAUUGCAGAAUUCAGUGAAUCAUCGAAUCUUUGAACGCACCUUGCGCUCCUUAGUAUUCCUGGGAGCAUGCCUGUUUGAGUAUCAUGAAAUCUUCAAAGUAAAUCUUUUGUUAACUCAAUUGGUUUCUACUUUGGUAUUGGAGGUCUUUGCAGCUUCACACCUGCUCCUCUUUGUUCAUUAGCUGGAUCUCAGUGUUAUGCUUGGUUCCACUCGGCGUGAUAAGUUAUCUAUCGCUGAGGACACUGUAAAAGGUGGCCAAGGUAAAUGCAGAUGAACCGCUUCUAAUAGUCCAUUGACUUGGCCAAUACUUUUAUGAUCUGAUCUCAAAUCAGGUAGGACUACCCGCUGAACUUAAGC
rnacentral:misc_RNA from 1 species